ACACGGAGUCCUGCAUCCCACAAUGAGGGCAAGCUGGGAAACACUUAUGAUGGCAAAAGGCAUCUUUUGAAAGAUUUUAAAGUCAGGAGAGGUCAUGUUCAUGAAGUCCCUGUUCCUUGUCAAUUCUUCAACAUAAUAUUUAGUCAUGUGAGAGUUUUCCCACCUGGAAGAUCCAGUUCACUAAGGAAAUAGCAAACAACACUGCUGCUUAUAAAAAUGAGAUUGCCUGGGAACAACUGUGGUUCUUCAUCCUGUCAGAUGUGGAGCCUCUACAAGGGACCUGCUAGGAUCAGAGAAUACAUUCCAGGGCUUCGCAAGGGGUUGGUGGCACUGAGAUUCCUGUAAUUACAGCCUUAUUUGAAGGGCUGUGAACACUCCUAGGGAUGUAAUUUGGGAUAAAGAGAAAUGCUUUAAAUCAAAACUAUGUCCUCCACUGGGUCACAGUUACAGUUGUUCAAUAAUAUUUUCUAAAAAAUUCUGACAUUUAAUAUUAUAAUUUUCAUAUCAAAAGUCCUCAGACCACCAUC